AGGGGCCGAUGCCUUUUUAUUUUGAAAUAAUGAUAGACUCCUAUGAAGUUGCAAAGGUACUACACAGGGUCUUGCGGAUCCUUCAUGCAGCUUCCCCCAACACGGACAUGUACCAACUGCAGUGUAACAUCAAAACAGGAAAUUGACAGGGACACGCUACUGUUAACUAGCCUACAGACCACAGGCCCUGUUCCAUGUUCACCGUUUUGUGCAUAGGGGUGUGUGUGUGUGUGUGUUCAGAAUUCUGUCCCCUUCAGUGGCAGACCCUUCCAUGUGCUCCCCCCACACGCACAUGCACACAAAAUCACAUGCAAAAGCUUAAUCUAAGAAACCUAGAAAUGGUGCUUCUGAUGAGAAUGCCAUCCCCAUCCCAAGCUCCGGUACUUCCCUUUGAAGCACUUAUCAUGGUCAAGGUUUUGCAUUGAUUUGCCUGGUGCUGGGUUUCAGGUUGGUCUUACUGGACUGUACACUGAGUCGAGAACAGUUACUCUUCCUUUGUCCCCACUUACCAACCUGCCCCCACCCCUGCCCCCCACCCCAGCCAGGCAUAGCCCAUCGUGGGCAGGGAAAGCCAACUGCCAAGCUGCCCGGGUGAUGCUGUGCCUUUCCACUGAAUGGGGAUAGGGUUUCGGAUUAAUAUAGGACUCAUGGUUAAAUUUGAGUUUCAGGUGAAACAAUAAUUUUUAAGUUUUUUAUAUUUCAUGGGACAUACACUAAAAACUUGUUACGUGAGCGACACCUGAGUGGCUUAGCAGUUGAAUGUCUGUCUGGCUUUGGCUCAGGAAGCCACAUCAAGCUCCCUGCAUGGAUCCUGCUUCUCCCUCUGCCUGUGUCUCUGCCUCUCUUUGUGGGUGUCUUUCAUGAAUAAAUAAGUAAAAUCUUAAAAAAUAAAAACUUGUUAUGUGAAAUUCACAUUGUAACCGGGAAUCCUGUAUUUUUUGCUUGCUAAACCUGGCAACCCUCAAUAGGGCUGAACAUGUCACUGAUAGGCUAUUAGGGAAAUGGCAGUGUGUGACUUCCAGUGAUGUGGCCUCAACCCUGUUUCUUUCUUGCUCUUUUUUUUUUUUUUUUUUAGAGAGAGAGAGGGUGUGAGCGGGGUAGGGGCAGAGCGAGGGGGGAGAGAGAGAGAGAGAGAGAGAGAGAGGAGAAUCUUAAACAGACUUCCUGCUGGGAAAGGAGCUCGACAUGGGCCUCCAUCUCAGGACCCUGAGACCAUGACCUGAGCUGAAACCAAGAGUCAGAUGCUUAACCAACUGAGCCACCCCGGCUCCCCUGCCUUGUCUCUUAGUCACUCAUUGUGGGGGAAUCCAGUCAUAUGUCAUGAGGACACUCAGUAGCCGUAGGUAGAGGUUCACAUGGCAGGUUCCCGAUGCCUCCUACCAACAAACAGCCGACACCAGCCCACCAGCCAAGUGAGUGAAUCACUUUGGAAUCAGAUCAGCCAGCCUGGGUCAAGCCUGCAGGUAUGUGCAGUUCCAGUUGACAUCUUGACUGCAACCCCAGGAGAGAUCCCGAGUCGAUACCAGCACCUGAGUCGGCAGCCAAGCUACUCUUGAAUUCCUGCCCAUGGAAAUUGUGUGAGAUAAUUCUCACUGUUGCCCCAGGCUUCGAAGUUUGAAGGUCCUUGUUACUGUGCAAUAGGUAAUACCUAGGAGCUCCUGAGAUAUUUGUGAAUGAGUGAAUGAGCCAGUGAAUGAAUGAGUGAGGAAGGCUGUGGUUCCUCCCCUUCCCUGCCUGCUUGUGAGGGUGCUCGCCCCGCAGACGACACCCAGGUCUGCGGAUCCUGCCAGCUUCGCUAUCAGAAUAGUCUUCACAAACUCAUGAAAGAUAAGUAAGGUAUCGACCAUCUGUAUGGAACAUUUCAAGGGAAACCAGAUUUGCGAAUCUCAGCUCAUCUGGAUUUCCAACUCUUCCCAGUUCAGGACACGCUCUAUAUUUUUGUGACAAAAUUUGAACUAAGAAUAAGCCUUGUGCAACUGUGUAAUGUCACCGUCCUAGAAAAGGUACUUGUGCUAGACUUUAAAUAUAUCAGCCUUGAAAUGCCACUUGCAGAUUGUUUCUAUGGUACCAACCUAUUUAAAGUUGUAACUAAGGAAAGGAUUUUGUCCCCUCCAAAUCUUUCAAAGGUGAUAUGGAAACAGUGCCGUACGGAUGGCAUAGGCCGUGUGAGGGGGUGAUAGGACCGUGGACUCAGGUAGCAGAAACUAUGGGGAGGUUUAUGGAAUUCAAGAGCUGGUGUAUGCAGAAGGUUUAGCUUCGGGACCCCAAACAGACAGGCAUCACAAUGUACAUCUUAGCUCAGGUAAGUUGGCAGAAACGGUGGGGGUGCCCCCGGCAUGGUGCAGCAGAGAAGGCACCCGCCUGGAAGUCUAAGGUCCUGCAUUCAGGCCUGGCUCUGUCCUUAAACUGCUGUGUAGCCUGUGAACGCCCCUCGUGGUUCAGUCUUCUCCACUGCUUCAUCUGGCGAGUGUUGGGGCCCUGUCGGGCUCCUGCUGAGGAGCCCUGUUGCCUGGCAACCCCUUCUUGGUUAUCUCCAUGUCUGAGCACCACAUUGGGAAUCUAGACACGGGCCUGGUGUCCCCAAGGCCCAAAGCCAGCGUUUCUCUGGGCAGUGGUAGAUCAUGAUGUGCGGGUAUGAAAUCAGGAAUCUAAACCUCUGGUUGCCUCUCCCCUUGCUUUUCUGGAGACUGGGCAUUUGAACCCAGAAAUCCUGAGAAACCAGUGAACUUUGAGCCCCUUUUACGCAGUCGGGCCCAUCCGUGUAGGGGUGUGAGGUUGGGUCUUUCAAAUGAAAACAGCCUUAAGCAUUUACCAAGGUCUUACUGGUCUUGCUAUGACCAGCAGCUUUAAUGUAUGUAUUAGCUGCCUGUCUUGUCUUGUGGCCUGAAAACACUCCUUUUAGAGCACUAGUGUCAUUAUCCCCAUUUUGCAGUUGGGGAAACUGAGGUGCAGUGAGGUGAAGCUACCUUCCCCCAUCCCACAUCAAGGAAGGAGCAAAGUGAUUCGGAUCUCUGAGGUCUUACUUUAGUAACUUCAUUAAAAAAAAAAAAAAAAAAUUCUAGGGGGCUCCAGGGUGGCUCAGUCAGUUAAGCAUCUAAUGUAGGCUCAGGUCAUGAUCUCAGGGUCCUGGGAUUGAGCCAUGUGUCAGGCUUUAUGCUCAGGGGAGAGUCUGCUUCUUCUCCCUUUGCCCUCUCCCCUUCCCCCUGCAUUCAUGCUCACUCAUUCAAAUAAAUAAAUAAAUCUUAAAACAAAAAUAUCUAAGUACAAAGAGAACCUUUUUUCCCCCCUUAAUAACUUGAGACUAAGUUGCCUACUUGAUGCCCUAUCACU
rnacentral:lncRNA from 1 species